GACGAACGCUGGCGGCAUGCUUAACACAUGCAAGUCGAACGGAAAGACCCUGCUUUUGUGGGGUGCUCGAGUGGCGAACGGGUGAGUAACACGUGAGUAACCUGCCCUUGACUUUGGGAUAACUUCAGGAAACUGGGGCUAAUACCGGAUAGGAGCUCCUGCUGCAUGGUGGGGGUUGGAAAGUUUCGGCGGUUGGGGAUGGACUCGCGGCUUAUCAGCUUGUUGGUGGGGUAGUGGCUUACCAAGGCUUUGACGGGUAGCCGGCCUGAGAGGGUGACCGGCCACAUUGGGACUGAGAUACGGCCCAGACUCCUACGGGAGGCAGCAGUGGGGAAUAUUGCACAAUGGGCGGAAGCCUGAUGCAGCAACGCCGCGUGCGGGAUGACGGCCUUCGGGUUGUAAACCGCUUUCGCCUGUGACGAAGCGUGAGUGACGGUAAUGGGUAAAGAAGCACCGGCUAACUACGUG
rnacentral:rRNA from 1 species